rnacentral:rRNA from 1 species
AUGUGAUCGUCUCUCGCAUAUCAAUAAGCGGAGGAAAAGAAACUAACAAGGAUUCCCCUAGUAACGGCGAGUGAAGCGGGAAGAGCUCAAAUUUGAAAUCUUAAAGGGUUUCCCUUUACGAAUUGUAGUUUAAAGAAGUGUUUUCUGUUGAGGUUUUGGUAAAAGUUCUUUGGAAUAGGACAUCAUAGAGGGUGAGAAUCCCGUAUUUGACCUUUACUUUCAACUUUGUGAUACACUUUCAAAGAGUCGGAUUGUUUGGGAAUGCAGUCCAAAAUGGGUGGUAAAUUCCAUCUAAAGCUAAAUAUUGGCGAGAGACCGAUAGCGAACAAGUACCGUGAGGGAAAGAUGAAAAGAACUUUGAAAAGAGAGUUAAACAGUACGUGAAAUUGUCAAAAGGGAAGCGUUUGACACCAGUGUUGUUUUUCUGAAAAUCAAUUAAAGAACUGUUUAUGCUAAGCUGUUUAGACUUUAUCAGCUAUCUGUUUAGUUUUGAGCUUUUCUUUAAUGCACUUUUCAGUUAACAAGUCAACAUCAAUUUCUUUUGCUGUAAAAAAGCUUGAGGAAGGUGGCUUGAGAUUCGUCUUAAGUGUUUAUAGCCUCUUGCCUAUGCAGUCGGAGAGAUUGAGGUCUGCAGCGUAGAUCCUUCGGGGCUAAAUGCAUUUGUGCUAAGUUAUAGCAUUUUAUAGACAACUUGUUGACUAUGAUUUGUCUUGUAGCUUACUCGCUUAUGUUAUUUUACCUACGCUUAGGAUGUUGAAGACUCUACAGAGAUA